GCCUUCGUGGUGUAACGGUAGCACACUCGGCGCAUACUCGAGAGGUCCAGGUUCGAGUCCCGGCGAGGGCA
rnacentral:tRNA from 1 species